UCAAGCGAAUAAGUGCAUAUGAUGGAUGCCUUGGCGAUCACAGGCGAUGAAGGACGCGGUAGCCUGCGAAAAGCUACGGGGAGCUGGCAAACAAGCUUUGAUCCGUAGAUGUCCGAAUGGGGAAACCCACCGUAGUAAUACGGUAUCCCAUGCUGAAUACAUAGGCAUGUGGAGGCGAACCGAGUGAACUGAACCAUCUCAGUAACUCGAGGAAAAGAAAUCAACCGAGAUUCCGGAAGUAGUGGCGAGCGAAACCGGACCAGCCUGGAUGUUUUAGCGUAUUGAAUAGUCGAAUGGAAUGGAAAGUCCAGCCGUAGCAGGUGAUAGCCCUGUAGGCGAAAUUCAGUACGUGGAACUAAGCAUCGAACAAGUAGGGCGGGACACGUGAAAUCCUGUCUGAAUAUGGGGGGACCAUCCUCCAAGGCUAAAUACUCGUGAUCGACCGAUAGUGAACCAGUACCGUGAGGGAAAGGCGAAAAGAACCCCGGAAGGGGAGUGAAAUAGAUCCUGAAAUCGUAUGCAUACAAACAGUAGGAGCACCUUCGUGGUGUGACUGCGUACCUUUUGUAUAAUGGGUCAGCGACUUACAUUCAGUGGCAAGCUUAACCGAAUAGGGGAGGCGUAGCGAAAGCGAGUCCGAAUAGGGCGAUUCAGUCGCUGGGUGUAGACCCGAAACCAGGCGAUCUAUCCAUGGCCAGGUUGAAGGCACGGUAACACGUGCUGGAGGACCGAACCCACUAAUGUUGAAAAAUUAGGGGAUGAGCUGUGGAUCGGAGUGAAAGGCUAAACAAGCCAGGAGAUAGCUGGUUCUCUCCGAAAACUAUUUAGGUAGUGCCUCGUAUAUUACUGCCGGGGGUAGAGCACUGUUAUGGCUAGGGGGUCACAGCGACUUACCAACCCAUGGCAAACUCCGAAUACCGGCAAGUACAGUACGGGAGACAGAGCACCGGGUGCUAACGUCCGGACUCAAGAGGGAAACAACCCAGACCGCCAGCUAAGGUCCCUAACUAUGGCUAAGUUGGGAAACGAAGUGGGAAGGCAUAGACAGUCAGGAGGUUGGCUUAGAAGCAGCCAUCCUUUAAAGAAAGCGUAAUAGCUCACUGAUCGAGUCGUCCUGCGCGGAAGAUGUAACGGGGCUAAGCCAUAGACCGAAGCUGCGGAUGUGUACUUUUAGUACACAUGGUAGGAGAGCGUUCCGUAAGCCUGUGAAGGUGUUCCGUGAGGAAUGCUGGAGGUAUCGGAAGUGAGAAUGCUGACAUGAGUAGCGAUAAAGGGGGUGAAAAGCCCCCUCGCCGUAAGUCCAAGGUUUCCUGCGCAACGUUCAUCGGCGCAGGGUGAGUCGGCCCCUAAGGCGAGGCAGAGAUGCGUAGCUGAUGGGAAGCGGGUUAAUAUUCCCGCACCGUCGUAGAGUGCGAUGGGGGGACGGAUUGCAGAAUGUUAUCGGGGUGUUGGAUGUCCCCGUUGGCGCAUCAUAGAAGGCACUUAGGCAAAUCCGGGUGCGUAAUUCAAGGGUGUGACUGGAUAGAGCUUCGGCUCUAAACUAACUUGAAGCAGUUCCAAGAAAAGCCUCUAAGCUUCAGCUCUACGAGACCGUACCGCAAACCGACACAGGUGGACGGGAUGAAUAUUCCAAGGCGCUUGAGAGAACUCAGGAGAAGGAACUCGGCAAAUUAAUACCGUAACUUCGGGAGAAGGUAUGCCUCAUUAGUGUGAUGUGCCUGCGCACAAAGCAUGAAGAGGCCGCAGUGAAUCGGUGGCUGCGACUGUUUACUUAAAAACACAGCACUCUGCAAACACGAAAGUGGACGUAUAGGGUGUGACGCCUGCCCGGUGCCGGAAGGUUAAGUGAUGGGGUGCAAGCUCUUGAUCGAAGCCCCGGUAAACGGCGGCCGUAACUAUAACGGUCCUAAGGUAGCGAAAUUCCUUGUCGGGUAAGUUCCGACCUGCACGAAUGGCGUAACGAUGGCCACACUGUCUCCUCCUGAGACUCAGCGAAGUUGACAUGGUUGUGAUGAUGCAAUCUCCCCGCGGCUAGACGGAAAGACCCCAUGAACCUUUACUGUAGCUUUGCAUUGGAUUGUGAACCGGCCUGUGUAG
rnacentral:rRNA from 1 species